CUCCCGGGCGUCGAGCGGCGGACGGGUGAGUAACGCGUAGGAAUCUACCCAGUAGCGGGGGAUAGCCCGGGGAAACCCGGAUUAAUACCGCAUACGCCCCACGGGGGGAAAGGCCGGGAUCUAUUUAUAGACCGGCCACUAUUGGAGGAGCCUGCGUUGGAUUAGCUAGUUGGUAGGGUAAAGGCCUACCAAGGCGACGAUCCAUAGCUGUUCUGAGAGGAAGAUCAGCCACACUGGGACUGAGACACGGCCCAG
rnacentral:rRNA from 1 species